GCCCGGUUAGCUCAGUUGGAAGAGCGUCAGACUUUUAAUCUGAAUGUCGGGGGUUCGAGCCCCCCACCGGGCG
rfam:Rhizopus microsporus genome assembly, contig: SCAF313